rnacentral:lncRNA from 10 species
CUGGGCCCGCGGGAGAGUUGUGUCACGGGGCACUGAGCUGUUCCCUGCGCUAAGGUGCUCUUUUGGGCCUAAAUAUAAUUAGAUCCUUCGCCGUUGUUUUGAGGUAAAUCUAAACGAAAAGGAACACCUGUUAACAGGUAGUGAUGCCGCAGGAAAGUGCUGGGAAGGGAAUGCUGGGAAGGGAAGGGCGUGGUCCCUUUAAAUGAUAAGGAAGGGGGGCGGGAAGUGCUGGGUAGAGGAGGGCGUGGUCCCCAGCUAGGGCUUCAUCCCUGGGCCUGGGCCUACCUAGGUGAAGACAGGCAUUUUUGUUUUCCUGCCCGGAUGUUGCAUUUCCCAAGACCACCCUGGCCUGCCAUGCCCUCAUCCUGUGCCUUUAAAAACCCCCGAGACCCUGGCAGGCAGACGCACAAGCAGCUGGACAUUGAGAGGAGCAUAUAGGCAGAGAAUACAGGGGCUGCUGGAUGUCGAAAGGAACGCACCAGCAUAGGAGCACACCGGCAUGCUGGCAGGCCAUUGACCAGCGGAAGAAUGCAGAGUUUGUCGCGGGAGGUCAGAGAAGAGUCAGGCCGCCAUACCUGACUCCAGGAGAAAACCGUCUCCCUUCUGGUUCCCCCGUCUGCCGAGAGCUACUUCCACUCAAUAAAACUUUCCACUCAUUCUUCAAGCCCACGUGUGAUCCAAUUCUUCCCGUACACCAAGGUCUCGCUGUGUUUCCCAGGCUGGGUGCAGUGGCUAUUCAAAGGUACAAUGAUAGCUCACUGCAGCCUGGAACUCCUGGACUCAAGCGAUCCUCCUGCCUCAGCUGCGACUAACAGUGCUGGUAAUGAUGUAUACCUGGCAGCUGACCGUCAAAUCUUAUGAAGGAUUAAAACAUAAAGUUUGCAUUAAAGGUCAAAACAGUCACAAGCCUGCUCAAAUUCGGAAAGAGGGGACGGAAAUGGAACCUCUUCAUGGGAGGAAGUUUUUGCUGAAGCACCAAAAUAGAGGCAAAGUUUUGUAGAGGCCAAGUGCUACCUUAUUCUCAAAUGGAGUUUUAGAUCAUCCAUGAAUUACUUGCAAAAGGGACGUCCUGAAACUCUGC